UCAAGCUAAUAAGAGCAUAAGGUGAAUGCCUUGGCAUCAAGAACCGAUGAAGGACGUAAAAAGCUGCGAUAAGCUUCGGGGAGGCGCACAUAGCCAACGAUCCGGAGAUUUCCGAAUGGGGAAACCUAGCUGAGAAAAGCUCAGUUGGCGUACAGUGAAUCAAUAGCUGUGCGUAGGGAACGCUCUGAACUGAAACAUCUAAGUAGGAGCAGGAAGAGAAAGAAACAUCGAUUUCCUAAGUAGUGGCGAACGAACGGGAAACAGGCCAAACCGAGAUACAUGUAUUUCGGGGUUGUGGACUACAUCAUGUGAUGGAGGUAAGGUAGUAGAAUUGUUUUGGGAAAGCAAGCCAAAGAAAGUGAAAGCCUUGUAUACGAAACCUGAAGACCCACAGUAGUAUCCAGAGUACAUCGGGACACGUGAAACCCUGAUGGAAGCCGGAGGGACCACCCUCCAAGCCUAAAUAUUCCUUGAUGACCGAUAGCGAAGAAGUACUGUGAAGGAAAGGUGAAAAGAACCCCGGGAGGGGAGUGAAAGAGAACCUGAAACCUUAUGUUUACAAACAGUCGAAGUUUUUCGGAACGACGGCGUACUUUUUGUAGAACGGUCCGGCGAGUUGCAGUGACAUGCGAGGUUAAGGAGUACAGCUCCGGAGCCGAAGGGAAACCAAGUCUUAACUGGGCGUCUAGUAUGUUAAUGCAGACCCGAAACCGGGUGACCUAUCCAUGGGCAGGUUGAAGUUACCGUAAAAGGUAAUGGAGGACCGAACUCACAUCUGUUGAAAAAGGUGGAGAUGACCUGUGGAUAGCGGAGAAAUUCCAAUCGAACUCGGAGAUAGCUGGUUCUCCUCGAAAUAGCUUUAGGGCUAGCCUUGAGGUAAAGUCUAAUGGAGGUAAAGCACUGAUUGGACGCGGGUCCCCAAAAGGAUACCAACUUCUAUCAAACUCAGAAUGCCAUAUAGAUAUACUCAGGAGUCAGACUAUGUGAGAUAAGUUUCAUAGUCAAAAGGGAAAGAGCCCAGACCGACAGCUAAGGUCCCAAAGUGUGUGUUAAGUGGAAAAGGAUGUUAGGUUUCUAAGACAACUAGGAUGUUGGCUCAGAAGCAGCCACUCAUUUAAAGAGUGCGUAACAGCUCACUAGUCGAGAGGUCUAGCGCCGAAAAUGUCCGGGGCUAAAACACACCACCGAAGCUACGGAAUUACCUAUGGUAAUUGGUAGAGGAGCAUUCUGUAAGGAUGAAGCACAAUUGAAAGAGAGUGUGGACGAAACAGAAGAGAGAAUGCCGGAAUGAGUAGCGAGAUAUAUGUGAGAAUCAUAUAGGUCGAAUGUCUAAGGUUUCCUGGGUAAAGCUGAUCUGCUCAGGGUAAGUCGGGACCUAAGGUGAGGGCGAGAGCCGUAAUCGAUGGACAACAGGUAGAAAUUCCUGUACUACGUAUAAUCAGAACUGUGGGGACGCAGGAGGAUAGGAAAACCGGAGAAUGGAAAAAUCCGGCUAAGUACAAAGGUGUGAGUGAUAGGCAAAUCCGUCACUAUUAGCUGAAGUACGAAUGGGAGCGAAGAAAAGUAGCGAAGUUUCUGAAUCCACACUGUCAAGAAAAGCCGCUAUUGCGUUAUACGUACCCGUACCGCAAACCGACACAGGUAGACGAGGAGAAAAUCCACAGACCGACGGGAGAAGUGUUGUUAAGGAACUCGGCAAAAUGACCCCGUAACUUAGGGAUAAGGGGAGCCAACGCAAGUUGGUCACAGAAAAGAGGCUCAAGCGACUGUUUAGCAAAAACAUAGGUCUAUGCGAAACCGUAAGGUGAUGUAUAUGGGCUGACGCCUGCCCGGUGCUGGAAGGUUAAAAGGAGAGGUUAGCGUAAGCGAAGCUUUGAAUUCAAGCCCCAGUAAACGGCGGCCGUAACUAUAACGGUCCUAAGGUAGCGAAAUUCCUUGUCAGGUAAGUUCUGACCCGCACGAAAGGUGUAACGAUUUGAGCACUGUCUCGACAACACGCCCGGUGAAAUUGAAGAACCAGUGAAGAUACUGGUUACCCGCAACAGGACGGAAAGACCCCAUGGAGCUUUACUCCAGCUUGAUAUUGGGAUUCGGUAUUGUAUGUACAGGAUAGGUGGGAGACUAAGAAGCUAGCACGCCAGUGUUGGUGGAGUCGAUGGUGGGAUACCUCUCUUAUAGUACUGAAUUUCUAACCUACUUCCGUGAAUCCGGAAGAGGGACAUUGUUAGGUGGGCAGUUUGACUGGGGCGGUCGCCUCCGAAAGAGUAAC
rnacentral:rRNA from 1 species